UAGGGAAUCUUCGGCAAUGGACGAAAGUCUGACCGAGCAACGCCGCGUGAGUGAAGAAGGUUUUCGGAUCGUAAAACUCUGUUGGUAGAGAAGAACGUUGGUGAGAGUGGAAAGCUCAUCAAGUGACGGUAACUACCCAGAAAGGGACGGCUAACUACGUGCAA
rnacentral:rRNA from 1 species